rnacentral:rRNA from 1 species
AUUGAACGCUGGCGGCAGGCCUAACACAUGCAAGUCGAACGAGUGGCGGACGGGUGUGUAAUGUCUGGGAAACUGCCUGAUGGAGGGGGAUAACUACUGGAAACGGUAGCUAAUACCGCAUACCAUCGGAUGUGCCCAGAUGGGAUUAGCUAGUAGGGUGGGUAAAGGCUCACCUAGGCGCCGAUCCCUAGCUGUUCUGAGCGGAUGACCAGCCACACUGGACCUGAGACACGGGCCAGACUCCUACGGGAGGCAGCAGUGGUGAAUAUUGCACAAUUGGCGGAAGCUUGAUGCAGCCAUGCCGCGUGGUUGAAGAAGCCCUUCGGGUUGUAAAGUACUUUCAGCGGGGAUGCGGUACCCGCAGAAGAAGCACCGGCUAACUCCGUGCCAGCAGCCGCGGUAAUUC